UUGCCAAAUUAGCAUUUCAAGAGUAAGUACAGUCAUGUGCAGCAUAACGACUUUUCAGUCAACAAUGGACUGAAUAUACGAUGGUGGUCCCAUAAGGUUAGUUCUAUAUAGCCUAGGUGUGUAGUAGGCUAAUACCAUGUAGAUGUGUGUAAGUACACUCUGCGAUGUUCACGAUGAAAUCGCCUAACAACGCAUUUCUCACAGCGUGUCCCCGUCAUUAAGUGAUGCACGACUGUACCUCUUUCAGACACCUCUUCUGAUCAGAACUCUCCACAUUCCCCACUCAUCUGCAAGGUGUGCCUUCCAAAUAUCCUUAGCGUGAUAUGCAAAGCCUUCCAUAAUCUACCCUCUUCCUACCUUUACAGCCUGUUUCACUAUAUCCUGGCUAAGUUUUUUACUUCAGCAAAUCAACCUAUUUGCUAGCCCCUGCACACACCUUGUAUAUUUUCAUUUCAUACCCUUCUCUUUACUUUAAAUUUUAUCAAAGUAAUACGUGUGCAGUCAGAUAGUAGUAAGAAAGUGUUUAACAGCAGUCCUCUGUCCCAUCUCCCUCUCCACCCCAGCAUACUUUUUCUUUUUUAGCUCACACUCUAUUUCUUUUUUUAAAUUUUAUUUUAUUCCUUUUUCUCCCCAAAGCCCCCCGGGUACAUAGUUGUAUAUUCUUCGUUGUGGGUCCUUCUAGUUGUGGCAUGUGGGACGCUGCCUCAGCGUGGUUUGAUGAGCAGUGCCAUGUCCGUGCCCAGGAUUCGAACCAACGAAACACUGGGCCGCCUGCAGCGGAGCACGCGAACUUAACCACUCGGCCAUGGGGCCAGCCCCUCACACUCUAUUUCUUGAUUUAGGAAUUCUAGACAUUGUUUACUGAUUUCCAAUUUUGAUUGAUGGAUUUAUUUUCUUUAUCUCCCCCUAACCUCUUUAAAUAGUAAAAUCACACUUUUUGGUUAAGUCUAUAUAGUACUUAGUAUUGACAUUUUGACUACAAAUAAAUGCUUCCUUUACGACUUUUUGUUUCUCCUGGCAUUUAGUCAUUGCCUUGCUUUUUCAUUUGGUCUGUUUUUACAUAGUGUACUUAUUAUUAAGUCUUUCCACAUAAGUUUAUUAAUACAUAUUCUGUUCACUCAAUCACAUGUAUUAGAUAACCCAUCCAUUUUCUCCCCUGGAGCCUUCCAUUCUGCUGCUCUGGUCUGCACCGCUGGCUGUCUCAGCCUGUGCACGGCUGUCUUUCUGGGACUUCUCUGCAUCAUCCGAAUUAUUCCCUUUACUUCUCCAUGUUGGAUCCUUGUUUCCUGGAGACUUUACUCCUUACUUGGUAAAGCACAUUCUUUGGUAGCGUCCCUUGAAAGCAUAGGAAAUAAAUUUUUCGAGAACUUGCAAAUCUGAAAAUGAUUGAGUUGAAAGGAAUUUUCCUUCAGAAUUUUUAAGACAUCACUCCAUUGUCUUUUAUCUUCCAGUGUUGCUAUCAAACGGUCAGUUUGAUCUCUUUUUCCUAAACCUUUGCACAUAACUUGUUUUUAUUCUCUCUUGAAGUCUUUAGGACAUUCUUUUUAUCUCUGGAGUUCUGAAAUUUCACGGUGAUAAGCCUUGGUGCUCAUUCACCGUGCUAGGCACUUGGUGAGCCCUUUCGAUCUGAAAAUUCAACAUUAUUUUCUUGAAUUUUUAAUAACAUCACUACCAUUUUUCCUGUUCUUUCUGUAACUCCUGUUGGAUAUUGGAACUUCUAGAUUGAUCCUUAAUUUUAUUUUUUUCUCCUUAAUCAUCCAUUUCUUUUUAUUUUUAAAUAAUUUAAUCUCUUUGCAAGAUUUUCUUAACAUCAUUUCCAAACUUUCUCCUAUCCAAUUCGAUAGGUAACAUAUUCACAAUUCAAAAUUCAAUUACAUAAGGAUGGACACACAGCCUCUCUCCUAUUUGGUUCUCUAGUCCUCCAGUUCUCAGAAGGAAAUAAUCCAUUUACUUAUUUUUAAUUUCUAACAACUCUUUUGUUCUCCAAUUGUUCCUUUUCAUAGUACUUUCUUCACAGACACAAUAUGUUCCCUCUUUGAGUUUUGAGAAUAAUAAUUAUGGCUUUUCCCCUCCUGAAAUUUUUAAAAAGCUUCCUUGGUUUCAAUUUUCUGUUUUGGUUUCUGCCUUUCAUGUUGGAAGUUUCCUCAAAUGUUUGAUGGCCCUUAACAAUCUAUUCACAGUUAAGAGUGACAUACUGGAAAGCUGAUUGCAAGUUCUAUCCAUGCAUAAGGCUUAUUAACUAACAGGCUUCACCGUAGGGUGAUGUAAGUGGGGGAAAGAUGACUUUUUCCUCCCCAAGGAAACAAAAAAUGUCAAGUAUUUGCAGGCCCUUUUUCUGCAGUUGUUCAGUUUGUUUUUGCCUGGGGGUAUAAGUCUGUGUGUGCUGAUACUCAGAGGCCUACCACGCAUAUACUUUCACUUAAUCCCUCAUUUUCAAUCUAGCCCCACCCUCAUGCUCCCCAUGUCUGCUGUUGAGUCCAGAGGCUCUACGAGCUUAUUUCAUUCACUAUGCCGGGAGCUCGUGGGCUGUCAGUCUGGGAGCACAUGAACUUUGGGUUUAGGAGACCUUUGUAAGUAUUUCUUUGAUAAUUUUCUCCCUACGGUUUCUCCAGAGACCAAAGUUCCCAUUUCUUGCAGGGGAGAAGUU
ensembl:lncRNA